CCUACGGGUGGCAGCAGUGGGGAAUAUUGCACAAUGGGGGAAACCCUGAUGCAGCGACGCCGCGUGAGUGAAGAAGUAUUUCGGUACGUAAAGCUCUAUCAGCAGGGAAGAAAAUGACGGUACCUGACUAAGAAGCCCCGGCUAACUACGUGCCAGCAGCCGCGGUAAUACGUAGGGGGCAAGCGGUAUCCGGAUUUACUGGGUGUAAAGGGAGCGUAGACGGCAGCGCAAGUCUGGAGUGAAAGCCCAUGGCUUAACCAUGGAACUGCUUUGGAAACUGUGCAGCUAGAGUGCAGGAGAGGUAAGCGGAAUUCCUAGGGUAGCGGUGAAAUGCGUAGAUAUGAGGAGGAACACCAGUGGCGAAGGCGGCUUACUGGACUGUAACUGACGUUGAGGCUCGAAAGCGUGGGGAGCAAACAGGAUUAGAUACCCCAGUAGUC
rnacentral:rRNA from 1 species